rnacentral:rRNA from 1 species
UACGUAGGGGGCAAGCGUUGUCCGGAAUCAUUGGGCGUAAAGAGCGCGUAGGCGGUCCGGUAAGUCGGUUGUGAAAACUGGGGGCUCAACCCUCAGAGGCCGACCGAUACUGUCGGGCUAGAGUCCGGAAGAGGCGAGUGGAAUUCCUGGUGUAGCGGUGAAAUGCGCAGAUAUCAGGAGGAACACCAAUGGCGAAGGCAGCUCGCUGGGACGGUACUGACGCUGAGGCGCGAAAGCAUGGGGAGCGAACAGG